GACGAACGCUGGCGGCGUGCUUAACACAUGCAAGUCGAGCGAGGAACUUCGGUUCCUAGCGGCGAACGGGUGAGUAACACGUGGGCAACCUGCCCCGAGCUCUGGGAUAACUUCGGGAAACCGGGGCUAAUACCGGAUAUGACACUACUGGACAUCUGGUGGUGUGGAAAGAUUUAUCGGCUUGGGAUGGGCCCGCGGCCUAUCAGCUUGUUGGUGGGGUAACGGCCUACCAAGGCGACGACGGGUAGCCGGCCUGAGAGGGCGAUCGGCCACACUGGGACUGAGACACGGCCCAGACUCCUACGGGAGGCAGCAGUGGGGAAUAUUGCGCAAUGGGCGGAAGCCUGACGCAGCGACGCCGCGUGGGGGAUGAAGGCC
rnacentral:rRNA from 6 species